CCACAGGGUAAAGAGAGGUCCUUACAGCCCUGCCCACAGACGCCUCCCCACAUUCACCUCAAAUGCAGACUUCGUGCUCAGGCACACUUCCUUCUACACUCACAUCAAACCCGGAGGGAAGGCAAGGGAAUGUGCAAAGACAAUGGGAAGGAAAGGGAAAGAGAAGGGAAGGCAAGGAAAAGAAAGGAAAAGAAGAAAGGAAAGAGCAGACCCAGCGGAGCACUUUUUAAGAAAUCAAGAGAAAGGAAGAGACAGCCUCUCUGAUGUGUCAGCGAUGCACAUGGAUAUAAAUGAGCAGCCACAGUACACUGAGGAAUUGACAGCAAAAUCUUUGGGCACUGAGCUCUCUUCGCACAGACAGGCUGUUCAAAAGACUUGGAGGUCUUGGAGGAAAUUCGUUAAAUCCUAAGGGAUAAACUAAUGGCACAAGAAAUGGAGGAGAAGCCAUUUUGUCCUGAGGAUGGCAUGUUGCCCGGCCAUCGACAGAUGAGUGGAAACCCACACGCCAAGGGAUGCCGGAAGCAUGGCUUUUUCCCUUGGAACGAUGAGGAGCUCCAAAUGCAAAAUGUAUGACUCAUUCUCUCAAACGCCACGGUCAAGAAUGGAGGAGAGGAGGUCAUGGUACUCCUCCAAGCUCAGCCCCCAGAACAGGCUUGCCAGAUACCAAAAUGAGAUGUUAUGAGACAUUUGGCUGGUGUAGCUGGUCUCCCCACUUCACACCCUCAAGCAGUAAAGCAGCGCUGGCUGGUAGAAAUCAACAGUAUAGACACAAUCCCUCAUGGUUUCCAAUGAAAGCUGGGAAUUUCUGGAGCUGUUUGUAGGUCCUGAGGGUUUCUGGGUGAGCAAAUGUACCUCUCCAUCCCAGUAGGAAUGAACUAGCUGCUGGGGCCGAGCAAGACAGCCAGAGAAGGUACUUUCCAAGGCUGUGUUGCAUUCUCCAGCGUGACCCUUUUCUUCUCCCCCCCAGAGCACAGGGGAUUUUGUACUCUGUUUGGGAUGGCCUUGUCAAAUACUCUUGACCUGCUACAUGAAGCCUUGGAGGAAGGCAUUCCCCUUAGUUUGAUCCUCCACCAUUACAGUGAGAUGAGUGUGGAACAAUCCUUUAUUAAAGGGUCAUGAGAUCACUGAGGUCAUUGGUCUGUGAAAUCACUGAGGAGCAGAAAAUGGAUCACUGGCCUCUGAAAAUCCUAUAAAACUGUGGGGAGUGUCUCCGUUCCAGCUCUCUUCUGCUCUUGACAGUUUUUUACACCACAGAGAC
ensembl:lncRNA